UUAGAAUAUUCUAAGAAUGUUAAAAUCUCCAGUUUUCUUGUCGAGAUUGCAACGCUAUUUAAAGGUUGCAAAAACAUUUCCUAGAUGUUCACCAAGUACAAAUAACACCAUAAGGACGUUUUGAGAAUUUCUCGACGUUAUCAAAUAAUCGUAAAGUUCCAUAAACAUUACGUUGAGAACGUUUUGUCCUAACAUUGAUAUAACGUUUAAAAAACGUUUCCUUUUAGCUGCGAUGCCAUCUGAGAUCGCAUGAUGGGAAACAAACCUGCAUUUGUGAUUUGAGAGGAAGAUUAUCAGUGAAUAAAGGCUUAAAUUUCGUCUUGACUUCUUGUAUGUAUUGUCAUGUAAAGGCAGUGCCAUUCAAUCCAGCUCUUGUAAAGCCGAUAUGAGGGUCUGGAACAGGUCUGUGCUUGAUAAACUCCCUCACUGGAUGUUUGAUGUUACGGUAGAAAUGCAGAACUGUCGCGACACGUAACAUAUAGAUCUUAUAUAUGCUGAAAACACCGCCGCGGGAGAUUUACUGCCGGAUUCCAGCGAGGCGAUGGAGACGGUGAGUGUGAUUUAUGGUCACCUGUGCGCUUGAGGAGAGCUCGAGUUACGCUUCAGGCACAAACGAGAGUCAGGAUCUGACAGCCGCUGAUGCUCCUGACGCUGACAGGAACAGAUCUGUGGGAUGGUGUCUGAUUGUGAGAUCUCUGUUGCAGCUGCAGACGCCGAAGAACCUGCACCUGAAGAAACAGCACCUGAAGAACCUGCACCUGAAGAAACAGCACCUGAAGAACCUGCACCUGAAGAAGCAUCACCUGAAGAGCCAGCGGAGGAGGCAGAAGCUCCUGCAGAGUCUGAAGACACAAACCCUGAGACAGGUACGCCUCGUUUACUUCAGGUGUUCAGUUCUGGUCAGACACAAGACACAAGUGCAAAACCAAGGCACAUAUACAUAUACAUAUACAUAUACAUAUACAUAUACAUAUACAUAUACAUAUACAUAUGGAUAUAAAAAACAGCGAUAGAAAACCUCACGUUUUAAAAAGGGCCUGGAAAAGUCAUGGUCAUUUCUAAAAGAUAAUGUGUCCCAGUUAUUCUCAGCCCUAAAAUAUUUCAUAGCCAGAAGCUGCUCUUUCUGAACGCAAUCUUUAAUAAAAUGAUUUUAAAAAUCCUUCAAAUAUCCUGUAACCAUGAAGGCCUGGAAAAGGCAUAGAGACGCAUCAGACGGUGGGCUGGGAAGCCUGUGAUAAUCAUGUGGUUUUGGCUAUGACGUAUUUUCCUCUCUGCUGCCGUUCCGCUGAGAGUCGGCGGAUCAGACAAGCUGGCUUGGCAACUAAACGAGUUUAAGAGGAAACACUAAAGUCACUAACUGGAAAUAAAAUAAAAACUGAAACUGUGAACUAAAACUAUUAAAACUCAUUCAGUAAUUGAAUAAAAGCUCAA
rnacentral:lncRNA from 1 species